rnacentral:rRNA from 1 species
UGCCAGCCGCCGCGGUAACACGGGGGGCGCAAGCGUUAUUCGGAAUUAUUGGGCGUAAAGGGCGCGCAGGCGGUCUUGUCCGUCAGGUGUGAAAGCUCGGGGCUCAACCCCGGAAGUGCACUUGAAACAGCAAGACUUGAAUACGGUAGAGGAGAGAGGAAUUCCUGGUGUAGAGGUGAAAUUCGUAGAUAUCAGGAGGAACACCGAUGGCGAAGGCAUCUCUCUGGGUACCGACUGACGCUAAUGCACGAAAGCUAGGGGAGCAAACGGGAUUAGAUA